rnacentral:rRNA from 1 species
CCUACGGGAGGCUGCAGUGAGGAAUAUUGGUCAAUGGACGAGAGUCUGAACCAGCCAAGUAGCGUGAAGGAUGACUGCCCUAUGGGUUGUAAACUUCUUUUAUAUGGGAAUAAAACGUUCCACGUGUGGGAUUUUGUAUGUACCAUAUGAAUAAGGAUCGGCUAACUCCGUGCCAGCAGCCGCGGUAAUACGGAGGAUCCGAGCGUUAUCCGGACUUAUUGGGUUUAAAGGGAGCGUAGGUGGAUUGUUAAGUCAGUUGUGAAAGUUUGCGGCUCAACCGUAAAAUUGCAGUUGAAACUGGCAGUCUUGAGUACAGUAGAGGUGGGCGGAAUUCGUGGUGUAGCGGUGAAAUGCUUAGAUAUCACGAAGAACUCCGAUUGCGAAGGCAGUUCACUGGACUGCAACUGACACUGAGGCUCGAAAGUGUGGGUAUCAAACAGGAUUAGAUACCCCAGUAGUC